rnacentral:rRNA from 1 species
GACGAACGCUGGCGGCGUGCUUAACACAUGCAAGUCGAACGGAAAGGCCCUGCUUUUGUGGGGUGCUCGAGUGGCGAACGGGUGAGUAACACGUGAGUAACCUGCCCUUGACUUUGGGAUAGCUUCAGGAAACUGGGGCUAAUACCGGAUAGGAGCUCCUGCUGCAUGGUGGGGGUUGGAUAGUUUCGGCGGUUGGGGAUGGACUCGCGGCUUAUCAGCUUGUUGGUGGGGUAGUGGCUUACCAAGGCUUUGACGGGUAGCCGGCCUGAGAGGGUGACCGGCCACAUUGGGACUGAGAUACGGCCCAGACUCCUACGGGAGGCAGCAGUGGGGAAUAUUGCACAAUGGGCGGAAGCCUGAUGCAGCAACGCCGCGUGCGGGAUGACGGCCUUCGGGUUGUAAACCGCUUUCGCCUGUGACGAAGCGUGAGUGACGGUAAUGGGUAAAGAAGCACCGGCUAACUACGUG